AAGGCAGGGAUGUGGCUUUUGGGGCAAGGCAGGCAGCAGCUCUCCCUUGGUGGUAGAUGCCAGUCAUUGAAUGAAGCCUGCAAGAAGUCUCAUGAAGCAGGGGCUGUAACUUAUUAAGAAUUGUCCACAAACAGCAUCAGAGUUAUUUCUCUAAAAUUGUCCACUUUUCCCUUCAGCUUGUGGAGUAG